AGGUCUGGAGGAGAACAGGAGAAGAGGAGUUCCAGUUAGAACAGGACAAGAAGAGCUGCAGUUAGAACAGAAGAAGAGUUCCAGUUAGAACAGGAGAACAGAAGAAGAGUUCCAGUUAGAACAGGAGAACAGAAGAAGAGUUCCAGUUAGAACAGGAGAAGAAGAGUUCCAGUUAGAAAAGGAGAGGAAGAGUUCCAGUUAGAAAAGGAGAGGAAGAGUUCCAGUUAGAAAAGGAGAGGAAGAGUUCCAGUUAGAACGGGAGAAGAAGAGUUCCAUUAGAACGGGAGAAGAAGAGCUCCAGUUAGAACGGGAGAAGAAGAGCUCCAGUUAGAACGGGAGAAGAAGAGCUCCAGUUAGAACGGGAGAAGAAGAGCUCCAGUUAGAACGGGAGAAGAAGAGCUCCAGUUAGAACGGGAGAAGAAGAACUCCAGUUAGAACGGGAGAAGAAGAGUUCCAGGUAGAACGGGAGAAGAAGAGUUCCAGUUAGAACAGGAGAAGAAGAGUUCCAGUAGAACAGGAGAAGAAGAAUUCCAGUAGAACAGAAGCAGAGUUCCAGUUAGAACGGGAGAAGAGUUCCAGUAGAACAGGAGAAGAAGAGUUCCAGUAGAACAGGAGAAGAAGAGUUCCAGUUAGAACAGGAGAAGAAGAGUUCCAGUAGAACAGAAGCAGAGUUCCAGUUAGAACAGGAGAAGAAGAGUUCCAGGUAGAACGGGAGAAGAGGAGUUCCAGGUAGAACGGGAGAAGAAGAGUUCCAGGUAGAACGGGAGAAGAAGAGUUCCAGUAGAACAGAAGCAGAGUUCCAGUUAGAACAGGAGAAGAAGAGUUCC